rnacentral:tRNA from 1 species
GAUUAGCUCAGUUGGUUCAGAGCAUCUGCCUUACAAGCAGGGGGUCACUGGUUCGAAUCCAGUAUCGC